UUUAAUGACUGUUUUCAUAAUUUAUCAUUAUGUUAAUAUAUCUUUUGAUAUGUAUGUCAGUUGUCUUUAUGUACAUGUAACUUUCUAUGAAUUCAUGACAAUUUUAGCUGCCUCAUGUUUUUCUUUUGUUUCUUUUUUAUUUGUAAUUGAAUGAUUCUGUUUAUUUAUCAAUAAUUUUUUAUUGGAUGAUAAAAUUUUAUUUACCAAGAUACAAUGUAAUUAUGUAUGAUUAAAGUUUUGAACAAUAAAUAAGUCGAUAAUCAUUCAAUUAAUGUUUUGUUAAAGCAAAUAUGAUUAUAAAAGAAAGGUAUUUUGAGUGACACAUUAAUUUGAAAGAGAAACAAAUGUUUACUCUAUCUUGGCAUAUGAACCUUUCUUUUAAAAAAAUCAUCUGAAUAUUUCAUUCUUGCCUGAGUACAAAUUUUCAAACAUUUUUCUAAAUUCAGGAUAUCCAGUUUUUCUGACAUUUUGAUCUUGCAUAUAUGCAAGUGUUUAUCAUGAAUAUUUGAUUCAGAGAUUUGACCAAAAAAAUGUUGAAAUUUGCAAUUGAACAAACUUAAAAUAUGUUGUUUUAUUCUUCAUUAGUUUCCAACUGGCACAAUACUUGUUAGUUUUAUGAAUUUGUGCACACAGACAUUAGUUAUACCAAAAAUAUAAAAUAAGUAUUUAUGUGUUUAUAUAAUGCAUGACAUGGUUGAUAAGUUACAGGUAUAAAUUUAACAUAUGUGUAAUGGUUGAUAAGUUACAGGUAUAAAUUUAACAUAUGUGUAAUGUUUGAUAAGUUACAGGUAUAAAUUUAACAUAUGUGUAAUGUUUGAUAAGUUAUAGGUACAUGUAUGUAUUUUACAUACAUGUUAUCUCAACUUUAUUUAUAGCAUGAUAUUUGUCAUUUAUAGAUUACUCAACCACAAUGAACAUAUAUGCGAGCCACUGUGUUUAUAUAUUUUUUACAGUGGAAACACCUCGUGUAAGGAGGCAAGAACAGCCUCAGGUUUAUGAUGAUAGUAUCUGAAAUUAGUUGAUAUUUACCAUUUUAUUUCGAUACACCAUCCUUAAAUGAUAAGCUAUUGACAAUGAAAUAAAAACUCAGGUUAUUUUUAUAAGUAAUUAGAUUGCUUGAUUAUUUGGUACACAUUGCACAGAAUGAUUAAAGAUGGGAAGCCUCAGUCUUUUGUCAUGAAAGCUGAAAAGGUACCAUAUUAACUUUAUGGUUGGCGUGUAUAAAAACCAAAUUGAAAAUAGGUAUAUAAGACAUUAUAGUAAAAUAAGCAUUAAAAUGAUGUUAAUCAUUCAGUUAUUUUUUCACUUCGCAACCUUGAAAUAGAAAUUACAUAGAAGUGAUCAAGUUGUAUGAUUUUGUAUGAACUUUUGUUUAAUCCCGCUCCACAUUUGAAACAGUCUUUGUGACAUAUGCUUUCAUUUUGUGUAAAAGUUUAUUUUAUAAAGUACAUAUCCUACAGAAAUGUCUAGUUUUUACUGCUAUAAGAUAUAAUUGAACAUAAUUAUAAUUUCAGAUACCAAAUACUUACAUAUAUAAUCACACUUUCAUUUUUUAUAAGAAAAGAACCCCUGAACAUCUCUACUUGAUACUUUCCUGCAAUAAGCCCUGCUUGAUUAUAUAGACUAAUAUAUGUAAUCUGCUUGAUUAAUAUAUAGUGAGAAAAUAAUUUAAUGUGAGGCUUUUAUAAUCAUUUCUAGUUAUUAUUCUAGUGCAAUUAGUAUUAUAAUGUGAUACAUUAAUAUCAUACAAACUGUUUUAUCAGCACUAUGUAUUGUCACCUUAGUGCAAUAAUGUCGUUAACUCCUAUUGAAUGUAGAAGGACUUAAUCCAUUUCUGCACUAAGGCAACGAUUAUUAUGUGUAGUGUGUCCAUUAUUCUUUACCAUUGAUCAUCAAAUUUUAUUAUUACAUGUAUUAUUGAUAUUUAUCAACACGUUGGUAGACAAGGCUUUAAUUACUGUUUAGCUCACCUGUCACAAAGUGACAGGGUGAGCUUUUGUGAUCGCUUUUCGUCCGGCGUCCAGCUGUCGUCCGUCCGUCCGUAAACUUUUACUUUAAAUGACAUCUCCUCAUAAACCACUAAGCCAAUUUCAUCCAAACUUCACAGGAAUGUUCCUUUGGUGGUCACCUUUAAAAAUUGUUCAAAGAAUUUAAUUCUAUGCAGAACUCUGGUUGCCAUGGCAACCGAAAGAAAAAACUUUAAAUAUCUUCUUUAAAAAAACCCUAAGAGCUAGAGCUUAGAUAUUUGGCAUGAAACAUCUUCUAGUGAGUGUCUACCAAGUUUGUUCAAAUAAAAGCCCUGGGGUCAAAAUUGGCCCCGCCCCAGGGGGUCAUUGAUUUUCCCUAUAUGCACAUAGUAAAAACUUAAAAAAUCUUCUUUUAAAGAACUCAAAGAGCUAGACCUAAGAUAUUAAGCAUGAAACAUGUUCUAAUGGGUGUCUACCAAGUUUGUUCAAAUAAAAGCCCUGGGGUCAAAAUUGGCCCCGCCCCAGGGGGUCAUUGAUUUUCCUAAUAUGUAUAUAGCAAAAACUUAAAAAAUCUUCUUUGAAAAACCCCAAAUAGCUACAGUUUAGAUAUUAAGCAUGAAACAUUUUCUUGUGAGUGUCUACAAAGUUUGUUCAAAUAAAAGCCCUGGGGUCAAAAUUGGCCCCACCCCGGGGGUCAUUGAUCUUCCUUAUAUGUGUAUAGCAAAAACUUAAAACUCUUCUUUGAAAAAAACGAAAUAGCAAGAGUUAACAUAUUAAGCAUGAAACAACUUCUAGUUAGUGUCUACAAAGUUUGUUCAAAUAAAAGCCCUGGGGUCAAAACUGGCAUCGCCCUAGUGGUGUCAUUGUUUUUAACUAUAUGUGUAUAGUAAAAACUUUAAAAAAUCUUCUUUGAAAAAACCCAAUGAGCUCAGAGCUUAGAUGUUUAGCAUGAAACAUCUUCUUAUGAGUGUCUACCAAGUUUGUUCAAAUAAAAGCCCUUGGACUAAAAUUGGCCCUGCCAGGGGGGGGAGGCCUAUAUACAGGUGAGCGACCUCAGGGCCAUCAUGGCCCUCUUGUUUUCACUUGGCCUAGGUGAUGACUUCAUAGUGAGACUUUAAUGACUUCUUAAUUGAAUGAUAUUCUAUUGAAUGUAAACUAUAUUGAUUAUUGAAUGUAUUCUAGGCUUAAUGAGGGUCCAUCGGCCAUUUUAGGCACUGAGAGUACGGUGCCCCUUUUUGAAUGAUUUACCACCAAAGCCUUAAUGUACUUUUAACCUAUUAUUUUGAAGAGGAAAGGCAGUAAGGCACUGACCACUUUACGGAGAUUUUGAUGAACAAAUCAAUUAUGUUAAUUGUCUAUGAUUAUUUAUUUAUUAAAAAAUUACGUCUGUUUACUAUGAUUAUGUAAAUUAAAUUGCAUGAGUUUCUUUGCAUAUUGUAAUAAAUAUGUGAAAUAAUG